AUACGGAGGGUCCAAGCGUUAUCCGGAUUCAUUGGGUUUAAAGGGUCCGCAGGCGGGAAAAUAAGUCAGUGGUGAAAGCCUACAGCUCAACUGUAGAACUGCCAUUGAAACUGUUUUUCUUGAGUAUAGAUGAAGUGGGCGGAAUAUACCAUGUAGCGGUGAAAUGCAUAGAUAUGAUAUAGAACACCGAUUGCGAAGGCAGCUCACUAAACUAUUACUGACGCUCAGGGACGAAAGCGUGGGGAGCGAACAGAAUUAGAAACCCUAGUAGUCC
rnacentral:rRNA from 1 species